rnacentral:lncRNA from 1 species
AUGAUACCAGGAAGCCUACAUUGGGUCGAUGCAGUUAUCAUUUCAGAUUACAUAUUUUGUAGCUAGCAAUUCAAAUGACUAAAAGGGUUCAUCAACCUGUGUGACCGAGGAUAUGUUAAUACGAGAGACACAUGUUGAGAUGUUUGUUUGGGUUGGUUAGCCUGUAGACUCCAAGGAAAGGCAAAGUGCUUUUGAAAUCGGUUAGAGGUGGCAAAACGCAAGCGA